rnacentral:rRNA from 1 species
AGUGAACGCUGGCGGUAGGCCUAACACAUGCAAGUCGAACGGCAGCACAGUAAGAGCUUGCUCUUACGGGUGGCGAGUGGCGGACGGGUGAGGAAUACAUCGGAAUCUACUUUUUCGUGGGGGAUAACGUAGGGAAACUUACGCUAAUACCGCAUACGACCUACGGGUGAAAGCAGGGGAUCUUCGGACCUUGCGCGAUUGAAUGAGCCGAUGUCGGAUUAGCUAGUUGGCGGGGUAAAGGCCCACCAAGGCGACGAUCCGUAGCUGGUCUGAGAGGAUGAUCAGCCACACUGGAACUGAGACACGGUCCAGACUCCUACGGGAGGCAGCAGUGGGGAAUAUUGGACAAUGGGCGCAAGCCUGAUCCAGCCAUACCGCGUGGGUGAAGAAGGCCUUCGGGUUGUAAAGCCCUCUUGUUGGGAAAGAAAAGCAGCAGGUUAAUACCCCGCUGUUCUGACGGUACCAAAGAAUAAGCACCGGCUAACUUCGUG